rnacentral:lncRNA from 1 species
AAUAGUCCAAUCCAUUUCGGACUAUAAAUAAAACCCAAAGUCCACAAAUGAAAAUCCAAAAUCCAAAGUCCACAAAUAAAACACAAAACUCAAAGUCUACAAAUAAAACCUACGACCACAAAGUCGUUAAACUAAACUAUACCCAAAAUCAAACGACCGUAAGUCGUUAAACUAAUCCCAAAUCCAAACAAUCUCAAAGUCGCUAAACUAAACAACCAAAUCCAAACGACCAUAAAAUCGUUAAACUAAACCCAAAAUCAAACGAUCGUAAAGUCGUUAAACUAAACCCAAAAUCAAACGACCGCAAAGUCGCUAAACUAAUCAACCAAAUCCAAACGACCGUAAAGUCGUUAAACUAAACCCAAAUUCAAACGACUGCGAAGUCGUUAAACUAAACAAUCAAAUUCAAUUGACCAUCAAGUUGUUAAACUGAAUUCAAAUUCAAAUGACUAUUAAGUCGUUAAACUGAAUUCAAAUUCAAAUAACCAUCAAGUCGUUAAAUUGAACUUUCGACCGUCAAAUCGUUAAACUGAAUUCAAAUUCAAAUUGAUCCUCAAGUCGUCAAACUGAACAAAUGACCAUCAAGUCAUUAAACUGAAUAUUUGACCAUUAAGUCGGUAAACUGAACAUCUGACCGUCAAGUCAUUAAACUGAGUUCAAAUUCAAAUUGACCACCAAGUCGCUAAACUAAGCAAUCAAAUUAAGCUCCUUUUAACCGUCAAGUUGUUAAACUGAGCGAACUAAAUUCAAAUUCAAAUGACCAUCAAGUCGUUAAACUGAAUUCAAAUUCAAGCCGACCGCCAUGUCGUUAAACUGAGCAACUUAACUCAAAUCGACCGUCAUGUCCUUAAACUGAGCACCUCAAUUUCAAGCCGACCGCCAUGUUGUUGAUUUGAGCACCUCAACCUCAAGCCGACUGCCAAGUCGUUAAACUGAAUACCUCAACCUCAACUUACUUUAACUGACCGCCAGAUCGCUAAACUGAGCGCCUCAGCCUCAAGCCGACCGCCACGUCGUUAACUGAGCUACUCAAGUCAAGCCGACCGCCACGUCGCUAAACUGAGCUACUCAAAUCAAGCCAACCACAAUAACUCAAUUCAAAUCGACUAAAUGACUGCCAAAUCCAUAAACUAAGCAUUUCAUCAAUGUACAGUGGGGGUAUGCCCCUGCUUAAGCCAUGUACUUGAAAAUUAUAUCAAUUCAAAUUCAUCUCUAUACUACGGUCUCUUUCUAUCAUCGGCAUUAAAUUUGGUCUCUUAAUCAAGGGUUCCUUAACAUUAAAAGUAUGAGGUAAUUAAUAGCUGAUUCUUGAGUCUGUUGGAAGUCAUGAACCUAUAAUCUUGAUUUCAAAAUAAAAUUUAAACAAAUUUAAUCUGUGCCAUGAAUG